GAUUGAACGCUGGCGGCAGGCCUAACCCAUGCAAGUCGAACGGUAACAGGAAGAAGCUUGCUUCUUUGCUGACGAGUGGCGGACGGGUGAGUAAUGUCUGGGAAACUGCCUGAUGGAGGGGGAUAACUACUGGAAACGGUAGCUAAUACCGCAUAACGUCGCAAGACCAAAAAGGGGGACCUUCGGGCCUCUUGCCAUCGGAUGUGCCCAGAUGGGAUUAGCUAGUAGGUGGGGUAACGGCUCACCUAGGCGACGAUCCCUAGCUGGUCUGAGAGGAUGACCAGCCACACUGGAACUGAGACACGGUCCAGACUCCUACGGGAGGCAGCAGUGGGGAAUAUUGCACAAUGGGCGCAAGCCUGAUGCAGCCAUGCCGCGUGUAUGAAGAAGGCCUUCGGGUUGUAAAGUACUUUCAGCGGGGAGGAAGGGAGUAAAGUUAAUACCUUUGCUCAUUGACGUUACCCGCAGAAGAAGCACCGGCUAACUCCGUG
rnacentral:rRNA from 1 species